rnacentral:rRNA from 1 species
CAGCCGCCGCGGGAAUACGUAGGUGGCAAGCGUUGUCCGGAAUGAUUGGGCGUAAAGGGCUCGCAGGCGGUUUCUUAAGUCUGAUGUGAAAGCCCCCGGCUCAACCGGGGAGGGUCAUUGGAAACUGGGAAACUUGAGUGCAGAAGAGGAGAGUGGAAUUCCACAUGUAGCGGUGAAAUGCGUAGAGAUGUGGAGGAACACCAGUGGCGAAGGCGACUCUCUGGUCUGUAACUGACGCUGAGGAGCGAAAGCGUGGGGAGCGAACAGGAUUAGAUACCCGCGUAGUCCCUGUCUCUUAUAC